rnacentral:lncRNA from 1 species
AGUGACUUCAUCCGCACAGAAUAAGGGCACAGGUCCCUCCUCCCAGGGGACACACUCCCUGACAUUAUUUGCCAUGGCUGAUUCACCACUGUACAGCAAAGAGAAAAGAUAGGUGGCAAAGGGCCCUAUUUGGCCUUUUUCCCUCUUUUUAGUUUUGAAGUGUGCAUGAGCCACGUGAGUGCAGUGUUCUGAGGUCACCAGGCAGAGCCAGCCACAAUGGAGGGAGAUUUGCCUUUUGCAGAGGCAAAGCUGAGCUCAGCAGGCCACAAUAACUGGAGGCUCUUCCCCCACUCAGCUCACCCUGGCAGGGACAGCCCAUAGACAGGGUCUUCUGCUGAUCUCUAACUUCACAGGAAGCCCAUUCUCUGCUUCCCCAGGUUCUGGGCUGCUUCCCUGGAGAAACUGCCUUUUCCUCUGACUCUUCACAGCACAGCUGCCUAGCCUCAGUUACAAAAAGCAAGGGAUGGCACAUUUGCCUGGGCUUGUCAUCGUGGGAUUCUGGCAGCUUGCAUUUCGUUGAUCCUCUGUUGUCAUGGAGCUGUGGAAACUGGAGCUUCCCCCGGGGAUGCUGAGGUUGAAACUACCCCAAAAACGGGCACUGUUCAGAAGAAAAAUCUUCCUGUGGCUCCUCUGAAUGUUACAAUGCAGACUCAACAGCUGAGGCGUGGCUCAAUGAUGAGUGAUAGAGUGUGUGCCAGCAUCAGUCCCUAAGAAAGAAAAAUCAGCUCACACACCAUAACAACACACUCCCAGGAGGGCUUCAGAUAUGUCAAGACCUCACCAGUGUGGUACCAGCCAGAGCAGGCCCAUCUAAUGCUGUCAACAACUACCGUGGCUCUCCCCAAGAUCAUGGCCCUCAAACACACUCUGGUGCAUUUAAUCUGAUUUUAAGAAAGUUUUUAAAAUACCAUCUUGAUUCCCUGAAGGGAUGUGGGGCCCUGGUGUUGAAGAGGCCCCAAAUUCCUAACCAUUUCUCAAAUAAAAGAUUUCCACAAGGAUGAACAGUUACAUAAACUGAUUGAAGACUCCAAGUUAACAAGGGAGGAGUCCUGUACUACCUGAGUCAAUUUGUUUCCAGUCAGUUAUAUCCAAGGUAUUUCCAGGAUGAAAAGAUGUUGUUAAGAAAACCCAGAUAUAUAUGAUUUUCUGGUUCAGAUGUAUGAGAAACCUCUCAGUCAGUAAAGACACAUUGAGUGCCACGAUGUCCCUGUCCCCAUCUGUGGGAUCCCAAGAAUCCCACCAGAUCUGCUUUGUACCUCUUAGU